rnacentral:tmRNA from 1 species
GGGGCUGAUUCUGGAUUCGACGGGAUUUGCGAAACCCAAGGUGCAUGCCGAGGGGCGGUUUGCCUCGUUAAAAGCCGCAAAAAAAUAGUCGCAAACGACGAAAACUACGCUUUAGCAGCUUAAUAACCUGCUCUGAGCCCUCUCUCCCUAGCUUCCGCUCUUAAGACGGGGAUCAAAGUGGCGUGCGAAUGUAAAGACAAACUAAGCAUGUAGUACCGAGGAUGUAGAAAUUUCGGACGCGGGUUCAACUCCCGCCAGCUCCACCA